rnacentral:rRNA from 1 species
AUGAACGCUGGCGGCGUGCCUAAUACAUGCAAGUCGAGCGAACGGACGAGAAGCUUGCUUUUCUGAUGUUAGCGGCGGACGGGUGAGUAACACGUGGAUAACCUACCUAUAAGACUGGGAUAACUUCGGGAAACCGGAGCUAAUAUCGGAUAAUAUUUUGAACCGCAUGGUUCAAAAGUGAAAGACGGUCUUGCUGUCACUUAUAGAUGGAUCCGCGCUGCAUUAGCUAGUUGGUAAGGUAACGGCUUACCAAGGCAACGAUGCAUAGCCGACCUGAGAGGGUGAUCGGCCACACUGGAACUGAGACACGGUCCAGACUCCUACGGGAGGCAGCAGUAGGGAAUCUUCCGCAAUGGGCGAAAGCCUGACGGAGCAACGCCGCGUGAGUGAUGAAGGUCUUCGGAUCGUAAAACUCUGUUAUUAGGGAAGAACAUAUGUGUAAGUAACUGUGCACAUCUUGACGGUACCUAAUCAGAAAGCCACGGCUAACUGCGUG